rnacentral:rRNA from 1 species
GAUGAACGCUAGCGGCAGGCAUAAUACAUGCAAGUUGAACGGGAUUGGAGUAGCAAUAUUCCAUGAGAGUGGCGCACGGGUGCGUAACACGUAUGCAACUUGCCUUGAACAGGGGAUAGCCCGUGGAAACAUGGAUUAAUACCCCAUAGCAUAUUGUUAAGGCAUCUUAGUAAUAUUAAAGCUCCGGCGGUUAAAGAUGGGCAUGCGUGACAUUAGCUAGUUGGUGAGGUAACGGCUCACCAAGGCUACGAUGUCUAGGGGUUCUGAGAGGAUGAUCCCCCACACUGGUACUGAGACACGGACCAGACUCCUACGGGAGGCAGCAGUGAGGAAUAUUGGUCAAUGGGCGCAAGCCUGAACCAGCCAUCCCGCGUGCAGGAUGACGGCCCUAUGGGUUGUAAACUGCUUUUAUACAGGAAGAAAAAUCCCUACGUGUAGGGACCUGCCGGUACUGUAUGAAUAAGCAUCGGCUAACUCCGUGCCAGCCGCCGCAGUAAUAC